UAGACUUCAAAUCAGGUGGGACUACCCGCUGAACUUAAGCAUAUCAAUAAGCGGAGGAAAAGAAAAUAACUAUGAUUCCCUUAGUAACGGCGAGUGAACAGGGAAAAGCCCAAAUUUGUAAUCUGGCAUUGUUUACCAAUGUCCGAGUUGUAAUUUGUAGAACUGUUAUCCGUGCUGGACCAUGUACAAGUCUGUUGAAAAACAGCAUCAUUGAAGGUGAAAAUCCUGUAAAUGAUAUGGACUACCAGUGCAUUUGUGAUACGGUUUCUAAGAGUCGAGUUGUUUGGGAAUGCAGCUCAAAGUGGGUGGUAAAUUCCAUCUAAGGCUAAAUAUAAGUGAGAGACCGAUAGCAWACAAGUACCGUGAGGGAAAGAUGAAAAGAACUUUGAAAAUAGAGUUAACAGUACGUGAAAUUGCUGAAAGGGAAACGUUUGAAGUUAGUAUUGUAUUCGUUGGAUCAGCUUCGCAAGAGGUCUAUUCCGAUGAUAAGCAAGUCAACAUCAGUCUAUGAGUGUUGGAAAARRGGCUCGAGAAUGUAGCAAUUUAAUUGUGUUAUAGCUUGGGACUUUGAAUACAACGCUCUUGAUUGAGGAACGCGUAGUAAGCUUUGAGCGGGUUCGAAAGAGCCUCCUUACUAUGGAUGUUGGUGAAAUAACUUUAAGCGACCCGUCUUGAAACACGGACCAAGGAGUCUAACAUGCUUGCGAGUAUUAGGGCGUUGAAACCCGAAUGCGUAAUGAAAGUGAUUUCAGAUGUGAUCCGCAAGGUGCAACAUCGGCCGGUCCUGAUUAUUUAUAUGACGGUACUGAGCAAGAGCAAGUAUGUUAGGACCCGAAAGAUGGUGAACUAUGCCUGGAUAGGGUGAAGUCAGAGGAAACUCUGAUGGAAGCUCGUAGCGGUUCUGACGUGCAAAUCGAUCGUAGAAUCUGGGUAUAGGGGCGAAAGACUAAUCGAACCAUCUAGUAGCUGGUUCCUGCCGAAGUUUCCCUCAGGAUAGCAAAGACUUUUUGAAUUAGUUUUAUGAGGUAAAGCGAAUGAUUAGAGGGCUUGGGGAUGUAAUGUUCUUAACCUAUUCUCAAACUUUAAAUAUGUAAGACGUACUUGUUUCUUAAUUG
rnacentral:rRNA from 1 species